ACGGGGAAGGAUGAGAAGCUUCGACCAAGGUUCGACUCGAGCGAAGCUAGAGAACGUUGCCGCAGGCAAUGGCCCGAAGGCGAGGCGCUUUAGCGCCGAGUAAUCCUUCCCCCACCACUU
rnacentral:sRNA from 1 species